CUCAUCAAGCCAUGCUGUGGUGGCAUCCUACAUACAAAAUAGAGGAAGACUGGCAUAGACAUUAGCUCAUCAACAAUGUUUCUCAAGCAAAAAGAGGAAGAUUGGCAACAGAUAAACAAAUGUUAGCUCAGGG